UUAAGCGACUAAGCGUACACGGUGGAUGCCCUGGCAGUCAGAGGCGAUGAAGGACGUGCUAAUCUGCGAUAAGCGUCGGUAAGGUGAUAUGAACCGUUAUAACCGGCGAUUUCCGAAUGGGGAAACCCAGUGUGUUUCGACACACUAUCAUUAACUGAAUCCAUAGGUUAAUGAGGCGAACCGGGGGAACUGAAACAUCUAAGUACCCCGAGGAAAAGAAAUCAACCGAGAUUCCCCCAGUAGCGGCGAGCGAACGGGGAGCAGCCCAGAGCCUGAAUCAGUAUGUGUGUUAGUGGAAGCGUCUGGAAAGGCGCGCGAUACAGGGUGACAGCCCCGUACACAAAAAUGCACAUGCUGUGAGCUCGAUGAGUAGGGCGGGACACGUGGUAUCCUGUCUGAAUAUGGGGGGACCAUCCUCCAAGGCUAAAUACUCCUGACUGACCGAUAGUGAACCAGUACCGUGAGGGAAAGGCGAAAAGAACCCCGGCGAGGGGAGUGAAAAAGAACCUGAAACCGUGUACGUACAAGCAGUGGGAGCACGCUUAGGCGUGUGACUGCGUACCUUUUGUAUAAUGGGUCAGCGACUUAUAUUCUGUAGCAAGGUUAACCGAAUAGGGGAGCCGAAGGGAAACCGAGUCUUAACUGGGCGUUAAGUUGCAGGGUAUAGACCCGAAACCCGGUGAUCUAGCCAUGGGCAGGUUGAAGGUUGGGUAACACUAACUGGAGGACCGAACCGACUAAUGUUGAAAAAUUAGCGGAUGACUUGUGGCUGGGGGUGAAAGGCCAAUCAAACCGGGAGAUAGCUGGUUCUCCCCGAAAGCUAUUUAGGUAGCGCCUCGUGAAUUCAUCUCCGGGGGUAGAGCACUGUUUCGGCAAGGGGGUCAUCCCGACUUACCAACCCGAUGCAAACUGCGAAUACCGGAGAAUGUUAUCACGGGAGACACACGGCGGGUGCUAACGUCCGUCGUGAAGAGGGAAACAACCCAGACCGCCAGCUAAGGUCCCAAAGUCAUGGUUAAGUGGGAAACGAUGUGGGAAGGCCCAGACAGCCAGGAUGUUGGCUUAGAAGCAGCCAUCAUUUAAAGAAAGCGUAAUAGCUCACUGGUCGAGUCGGCCUGCGCGGAAGAUGUAACGGGGCUAAACCAUGCACCGAAGCUGCGGCAGCGACGCUGAUGCGUUGUUGGGUAGGGGAGCGUUCUGUAAGCCUGUGAAGGUGUGCUGUGAGGCAUGCUGGAGGUAUCAGAAGUGCGAAUGCUGACAUAAGUAACGAUAAAGCGGGUGAAAAGCCCGCUCGCCGGAAGACCAAGGGUUCCUGUCCAACGUUAAUCGGGGCAGGGUGAGUCGACCCCUAAGGCGAGGCCGAAAGGCGUAGUCGAUGGGAAACAGGUUAAUAUUCCUGUACUUGGUGUUACUGCGAAGGGGGGACGGAGAAGGCUAUGUUGGCCGGGCGACGGUUGUCCCGGUUUAAGCGUGUAGGCUGGUUUUCCAGGCAAAUCCGGAAAAUCAAGGCUGAGGCGUGAUGACGAGGCACUACGGUGCUGAAGCAACAAAUGCCCUGCUUCCAGGAAAAGCCUCUAAGCAUCAGGUAACAUCAAAUCGUACCCCAAACCGACACAGGUGGUCAGGUAGAGAAUACCAAGGCGCUUGAGAGAACUCGGGUGAAGGAACUAGGCAAAAUGGUGCCGUAACUUCGGGAGAAGGCACGCUGAUAUGUAGGUGAAGCGACUUGCGGAUGGAGCUGAAAUCAGUCGAAGAUACCAGCUGGCUGCAACUGUUUAUUAAAAACACAGCACUGUGCAAACACGAAAGUGGACGUAUACGGUGUGACGCCUGCCCGGUGCCGGAAGGUUAAUUGAUGGGGUUAGCGCAAGCGAAGCUCUUGAUCGAAGCCCCGGUAAACGGCGGCCGUAACUAUAACGGUCCUAAGGUAGCGAAAUUCCUUGUCGGGUAAGUUCCGACCUGCACGAAUGGCGUAAUGAUGGCCAGGCUGUCUCCACCCGAGACUCAGUGAAAUUGAACUCGCUGUGAAGAUGCAGUGUACCCGCGGCAAGACGGAAAGACCCCGUGAACCUUUACUAUAGCUUGACACUGAACAUUGAGCCUUGAUGUGUAGGAUAGGUGGGAGGCUUUGAAGUGUGGACGCCAGUCUGCAUGGAGCCGACCUUGAAAUACCACCCUUUAAUGUUUGAUGUUCUAACGUUGACCCGUAAUCCGGGUUGCGGACAGUGUCUGGUGGGUAGUUUGACUGGGGCGGUCUCCUCCUAAAGAGUAACGGAGGAGCACGAAGGUUGGCUAAUCCUGGUCGGACAUCAGGAGGUUAGUGCAAUGGCAUAAGCCAGCUUGACUGCGAGCGUGACGGCGCGAGCAGGUGCGAAAGCAGGUCAUAGUGAUCCGGUGGUUCUGAAUGGAAGGGCCAUCGCUCAACGGAUAAAAGGUACUCCGGGGAUAACAGGCUGAUACCGCCCAAGAGUUCAUAUCGACGGCGGUGUUUGGCACCUCGAUGUCGGCUCAUCACAUCCUGGGGCUGAAGUAGGUCCCAAGGGUAUGGCUGUUCGCCAUUUAAAGUGGUACGCGAGCUGGGUUUAGAACGUCGUGAGACAGUUCGGUCCCUAUCUGCCGUGGGCGCUGGAGAACUGAGGGGGGCUGCUCCUAGUACGAGAGGACCGGAGUGGACGCAUCACUGGUGUUCGGGUUGUCAUGCCAAUGGCACUGCCCGGUAGCUAAAUGCGGAAGAGAUAAGUGCUGAAAGCAUCUAAGCACGAAACUUGCCCCGAGAUGAGUUCUCCCUGACUCCUUGAGAGUCCUGAAGGAACGUUGAAGACGACGACGUUGAUAGGCCGGGUGUGUAAGCGCAGCGAUGCGUUGAGCUAACCGGUACUAAUGAACCGUGAGGCUUAACCUU
rnacentral:rRNA from 1 species